AACGAACGCUGGCGGCAGGCUUAACACAUGCAAGUCGAGCACCCCGCAAGGGGAGCGGCAGACGGGUGAGUAACGCGUGGGAACCUACCCAUCUCUACGGAAUAACGCAUGGAAACGUGUGCUAAUACCGUAUACGUCCUUCGGGAGAAAGAUUUGUCGGAGAUGGAUGAGCCCGCGUUGGAUUAGCUAGUUGGUGGGGUAAAGGCCUACCAAGGCGACGAUCCAUAGCUGGUCUGAGAGGAUGAUCAGCCACACUGGGACUGAGACACGGCCCAGACUCCUACGGGAGGCAGCAGUGGGGAAUAUUGGACAAUGGGCGCAAGCCUGAUCCAGCCAUGCCGCGUGAGUGAUGAAGGCCCUAGGGUUGUAAAGCUCUUUCACCGGUGAAGAUAAUGACGGUAACCGGAGAAGAAGCCCCGGCUAACUUCGUGCCAGCCGCCGCCGUAACAC
rnacentral:rRNA from 1 species